rnacentral:rRNA from 1 species
GUCCACGCGGUAAACGAUGAAUGCUAGGUGUCGGGUGACAAAGUCAUUCGGUGCCGCCGCAAACGCAUUAAGCAUUCCACCUGGGAGUACGUUCGCAAGAAUGAAACUCAAAGGGAUAGGCGGGGAACACACAAGCAGUGGAUUAUCUAGAUUAAUUGGAUAAUAAGCCAAGAAUCUUACCUAGGCUUGACAUACAUUGUGUCAUAUAAGAAUUAUGUUAUCCGUAGCAAUACGGAACUUUGUACAGGUGGUGCAUGGUCGUCGU